rnacentral:rRNA from 1 species
UACGUAGGGUGCGAGCGUUAAUCGGAAUUACUGGGCGUAAAGCGUGCGCAGGCGGUGAUGUAAGACCGAUGUGAAAUCCCCGGGCUUAACCUGGGAACUGCAUUGGUGACUGCAUCGCUCGGGUGCGGAAGAGGGAAGCGGAAUUUCCGGUGUAGCGGUGAAAUGCGUAGAGAUCCGGAGGAACCCCAGAGGCGAAGGCGGCGUCCUGGCUCACAACUGACGCUCAUACACGACAGCAUGGGGAGCGAACGGG